GACGAACGCUGGCGGCGUGCCUAAUACAUGCAAGUCGAACGGUCUUUUCUAUGGAAGCUUGCUUCCACUGAGAAGAUAGUGGCGAACGGGUGAGUAACACGUGGGUAACCUGCCCAUAAGAGGGGGAUAACAUCCGGAAACGGGUGCUAAUACCGCAUAGUUUUCUUGAUCGCAUGAUCGGGAAAGGAAAGACGGCCUUUGUGCUGUCGCUUAUGGAUGGACCCGCGGCGUAUUAGUUAGUUGGUGGGGUAACGGCUCACCAAGACGAUGAUACGUAGCGGACCUGAGAGGGUGAUCGGCCACAUUGGGACUGAGACACGGCCCAAACUCCUACGGGAGGCAGCAGUAGGGAAUCUUCCGCAAUGGACGAAAGUCUGACGGAGCAACGCCGCGUGAGUGAAGAAGGUUUUCGGAUCGUAAAACUCUGUUGUCAGAGAAGAGCAAGUUGGAGAGUAACUGCUCCAGCCUUGACGGUAUCUGACCAGAAAGCCACGGCUAACUACGUGCCAGCCGCCGCGGUAAAAC
rnacentral:rRNA from 1 species